AUGGACUGGACCUGGAGGGUCUUCUGCUUGCUGGCUGUAGCUCCAGGUGCUCACUCCCAGGUGCAGCUGGUGCAGUCUGGGGCUGAGGUGAAGAGGCCUGGGGCCUCAGUGAAGGUUUCCUGCAAGGCUUCUGGUUACACCUUCACCAGCUGCUAUAUGUACUGGGUGCAACAGGCCCCUGGACAAGGGCUUGAGUGGAUGGGAGUAAUCAACCCUAGUGAUGGUAGCACAAGCUAUGCACAGAAGUUCCAGGGCAGAGUCACCAUGACCAGGGACACAUCCACAAGCACAGUCUACAUGGAGCUGAGCAGCCUGAGAUCUGAGGACACGGCCGUGUAUUACUAUGCAAGAGACACAGUGUGA